CCCCCCAGCCCAAACCUCCCCACCUGCACCGCUCCCCACUGUUGGAAUACAGUCUGAGGCAGUCUGUCGCAUGCAUUUCCCAGCUAAUGCCAAUGUGCACUGUACUCCACUGCUCUGUCUGUACAUGAGGAAAGUAUACUGUUUCUGCUCAAAUUCAAGUAUUUUUUUCAGAGGGGGGUAGGAGGAGAAGGACCAAUCAGCUCUUUUUUGUUCUAUUAGAAUAAGAAGGCAUUUUAACAUUGAGUGUAUUUAUUUCUUUGUUAAACCCAGCUGUACUUUUUUUGUUUUUUUUUUAAGUCUAAGGCUUCCUAUUUCUUCAGUAUUACUCUUUAACCAUGUGAAGGAUGAAUAUUUUGCAAAAUGAUGUUUUGGGCCAAAGUUAAUAUAAGUUUCCUUCUCACUCAGCUGUGCAUUUGUAAAACAGAACGGGCCAGAUGUACCAAGCCUUUACCAGCUAGGUUCAGGCACAGAUAUAAAAACAUGGGUGUUAUGUAUCAAACAGUCGUACAGGGCUGGAAGCACAGUGUGCCUGUCACCUACGUAAGUCAUCGCAAGGUGCACUUCUCUCCUUAAUGCAUAUGCAUUUAAGGGAGGAUUGAACAAAUAACAAGUGAAAACAUCAUGCGUGGCUGAUUAUAUGUUCUGUUGAAUUCACUGAAGCUCACGCAAUCAAUGCAGGUCAAUUCUUGUCUGGAAUUUAUCCGCCUCUGAAGAGCAGGCAUUACAUGCAGACAGAUAUAGGCCUCAAAGAUGUGCUGAGAGAACCUUUGCAACAGGAAUCACAUCAUUUCAACUUCCUGAGAAAGAAAUCAUCAAAUGGUCCAGAUUAAGCAGCCACACAAUAAUUAAGGCUGCGUGUUUGUCUUGCAAAAUAUUGGCUAAAGUCACAGUGCAGUCACAUAAAAGUUGCUAAAACGUUAUCACAGAAAACUGAAAAAAGAGGCAGAGAUCACAGAGUGUUUAAAAAAAAAGAUUCACUAAAUUAACCAAUAGAUCUCAAGUACAGCAGUGGGAUGUGAUUGAAAUAACAUGAUUGUAGCAGGUUCUUACUGUAUUAAAAAAAAAACUGUGGGCAGUUUCCGCUAGUAAAAAAUACAAGUAAAUGCGUUCAUAGGCUGGUGCAUUUAAUCACUGUCCAUCAUGGAAAGAGCAUGCUUUUUGCCUUUAACAGAACAUUGUUAGAAACAGCAUACAGAGCACACUGAAAUUGCGUUACUGCAUUGUUUGACGAAAUCAAGGAAUCCAUGACACCCGUGAAUUCUGUGACAAUUACUCUUCUGGGAGAAAUGAAAGAUGACCUGGAACCUCCCACACAGCAUUCCCAUUCGAUCCCAGCAAGGGUAACGUCACUAUCUCGCUAUCUGGAUUAAUUCAAUCAACAAUUACCACCACAGCUAGAAUAUCACAGUCCGCAUUUUGUCCUGUGCUGACCGUAUUGCUGGAUAGACUGAUGCAUCGAUUUCCCAGCAUCCAGUCAAGACAAUCAACACUCCAAAGAGGAGAUUUUUAACUGUGUCUUUUAAGCUCCGCUUCAUACACAGAAUGCGAUUAACAGGCGGUCCCAUUGGCUGAAUGCGUAAUUAGCUGUAGGCAUAGGAAAUAAGACGUCGAUUUCACGCAGAUGCGUACACACCAACACACCCUCAGCAGGCCACAUUUUGCUCUGCAGGUUUUAUGUACGUACAUCUGGCCCAGUGUCUGACUGACUGUGCUUCUGCUGACGCAGGUCCAGAAUCCAGGCCAGGACUUCCAUGUGUCCAGUUAGAAUGAGAUCAACCUUAUAUUAAAUUCUGUCCUAUGUGUGGUACUAAGACUUGAAUUCAGGGACUUAUUGUUAUUAUUAUUAUUGUUGUUAUUACUACUACAAUAUGUAUUUUAUUUUAUGUAUUAUUGACAGGGACUUGAAUGAGUACCUACUUGGAGUGACAUUAAUAAGGCUUAUGGUUUUUUUAGGAAAGGUGUGACAGGUACACAUAUACGGUAGUGCAGUCUAUUUCCCUAGCACUCUUAACGCUGUGUUAAAAAGCUCGACACAUUUCACUCAAGCUAAGGUCAAAUGCUUAAAACAGAGGUGUCUGGAAGAAAAUGUGUUCCUUGCAUAUGUAUAAAUAUAAAUAUUUUGUUGUAAAUAUGAAUUUGCCUGAGCUUGCUGUAAACCUGUCUCCUUGUAUGCUUGGCAUUGCUGUAUCUGUACAUUAGCAUUAUUUUAAGUGAUGUUAAGAACAGGUUGUUCGUGGUUUAUGACAUGAAGAUGUUAUGCUUUGCAGUUAAAGGUAUGCAUCAUCAGAUGUGGGUUGUGGUCAGUGCGCAUAUUCAUUGUGAUGUCAUGCUGUACUGUUAUGUCAUGCUGUAGGUUGUGGGGAUGCUUCCUCCUCCUCUCCUCUUCAUCAGCUGGAUCUCCAAGCUGAUUGGUGAAUUCCUAGCCAAUCAGCUUGAUGAUAGGUUGAAUAGUCUUGGUCUUACUGGUUGAGUAAACUUUUAACUUUGAGUCUUGAUUUAUGGCUGACCCCUGCGUGGGUGAGACUACAGAAGCACUUGGGCAUGUGGAGGUCCUUCAGGUGAGCUCUGUUUGGCUCAUUCAGGUGAGCUCUGUUUGACUCAUUCAGGUGAGAUCUGUUUGGCUCAUUCAGGUGAGCUCUGGUCCUUCAGGUGAGCUCUGUUUGACUCAUUCAGGUGAACACUGUUUGACUCAUUCAGGUGAGCUCUGUUUGACUCAUUCAGGUGAGCUCUGUUUGGUUUGUUCAGGUGAGCUCUGGUGCUUCAGGUGAGCUCUCUUGGUUGCUUCAGAGGUGCAGUUUUUGGGUCUCUCAGGGGGCAAGCUCUGAUGGAGACACACAGAAGUUUGCCAUUGUGUCCAGCUGCUUCCUGUGCAGGAAGUUGAGUCACCUCCCCACACACCGCACUUCCUCCCGAGUAGCGUCUGUGCUAAGGGGCUGUUAAGCAUCAGUUGGAGAGGUUACAGCACCCCCCCCCACACUCACCACUGUUUCAGUCUCUGCCUCUGUGCUGUUGAUAAUGCUGAUGAUAUUGAUUACCCAUGUUUGUUCAUGCUUUCCAAAGAGAAUAUUCACUUCCUGUUUUUUUGCUUCACUUCCUGUACUUCUUACAGGUUCUUUACACAGCACAGGGUCAUGUUAUUUAGAGAAGAGCAGGUUGCCUCUCGUUGGAGGAGAGAAGGUUGCUCCUUCACCACAGGCCCACAGCAUUAUACAUAUAAAGGUUAAGAAAUAGUACUGUGUACAUUAACUCAUUUAAAUAGAUCUUUGGAAAAGAAUAUUGUGUAUAAAGUGUUAUUUAAAGAUUAAAAAGUUUCCUGCUCAGUUCAAACUCUCUGUCCUUACAUUUCUGGAAGCUUAUUGGAAUGUGACAUCAAUUUAAAUGGAAUGCUCUGUUGUGGCAAUAUAUUCUGGUAUGUGUUGCUUUUUGUCAGUGUAAAUAAAUGAGUGAAAUUCUGAAAAGCUU